AUUGAACGCUGGCGGCAGGCCUAAUACAUGCAAGUCGAGCGGAGCUGCGGACGGGUGAGUAAUGCCUAGGAAUAUGCCUGGUAGUGGGGGAUAACGUCCGGAAACGGGCGCUAAUACCGCAUACUAUCAGAUGAGCCUAGGUCGGAUUAGCUAGUUGGGGGGGUAAAUGCCUACAAAGGCGACGAUCCGUAACUGGUCUGAGCGGAUGAUCAGUCACACUGGAACUGAGAAACGGUCCAGACUCCUACGGGAGGCAGCAGUGGGGAAUUUUGGACAAUGGGCGAAAGCCUGAUCCAGCCAUGCCGCGUGUGGGAAGAAGUGCUUCGGAUUGUAAGGCACUUUAAGUUGGAAGGCGUUACCAACAGAAUAAGCACCGGCUAACUACGUGCCAGCAGCCGCGGUAAUUC
rnacentral:rRNA from 1 species